rnacentral:lncRNA from 1 species
UUCUUACCAAAUUAUGAGCUUUCAGCUUCGCUUCAUCUCUCUAGCUUCUCUGUUUGACCUUAACAUUGGAAUGUUGGUUUCAAUGCAGGAUGCCUCCUUGCAGGGCUAUCCAGAGUCACCAAAAUCAGUUGUACUUAUAACAGGAACAGCAGAGUAUAACAUGGUAUCCCUUGAUAGCACAAUGAAGGCAUACCUUUGGGAAAUGGGAUCGCCAUUCCUUCCUUGCAAAACACGACAAGGUGUCCUUGUAGCAAAGGCUCACUCCCUCAGAAUGUGGUUAAAAGAGUCACCAUUUUGCUUGGAUCUGGA